rnacentral:rRNA from 1 species
GACGAACCGUGCGAACGUUGUUCGGAAUCACUGGGCUUAAAGGGCGCGUAGGCGGGCUAUCAAGUCCGGGGUGAAAUCCUCCCGCUCAACGGGAGAACUGCCUCGGAUACUGAUGGUCUCGAGGGGAUAGGGCACACGGAACUGUGGUGGAGCGGUGAAAUGCGUUGAUAUCCAUAGGAACUCCGGUGGCGAAAGCGGUGUGCUGGAUCCCUUCUGACGCUGAGGCGCGGAAAGCCAGG